ACAGCUCUGGAAAAAAAUGGAGAUCACUUCAGUUUCUGAAUCAGUUUCUCUGAUUUUGCUUUUUACAGGUUUAUGUUUGAGUAAAAUGAACAUUGUUGUUUUAUUCUAUAAACUACAGACAACAUUUCUCCCAAAUUCCACAUAAAAAUAUUUUAGUCAUUUAGAGUAUUUAUUUACAGAAAAUGAGAAAUGGCUGAAAUAACAAAAAAAGAUGCAGAGCUUUCAGAUAAUCUCAAAUAAUGCAAAGAAAACAAGUUCAUAUUCAUAAAGUUUUCAUAAAGAGUUCAGAAAUCAAUAUUUGGUGGAAUAACCCUGGUUUUUAAUCACAGUUGUCAUGCAUCUUGGCAUCAUGUUCUCCUCCACCAGUCUUACACACUGCUUUUGGAUAACUUUAUGCUGCUUUACUCCUAGUGCAAAAAUUCAAGCAGUUCAGUUUGGUGGUUUGAUGGUUUGUGAUCAUCCAUCUUCCUCUUGAUUAUAUUCCAGAGGUUUUUAAUUUGGUAAAAUCAAAGAAACUCAUCAUUUGUAAGUGGUCUCUUAUUUUUUCCAGAGCUGUAUGUAUGGGCAGGUUCAAACCUUGGUUAUGUGGGGAGAGAGCGCCAUCUAGCCACCCACAGAGAGCAAGGCCAGUUGUGCUCUUUCAGGGCUCUGGCAGAUGAUGGCAAGCUGCAUAAUCAGGAUUCGGACCAACGAUCUCCAAAUCAUAGUGGCAGUGCUAAACCUGCUGGACCACUCAGAGCCCCAUUCAAUGUAUAUUCUAAUUAAUAUUAAUGGGCAAUAAAAAAAAUUUAAAAACUGACUUUAAAUUGAAAUAAGUUGGGCCUUAUUUCAACCCUGAAUUUAAAUUUAUGAAUUUAAAUAGAAACUAAACUAAAAAUCGCCUUUUCUAAUAAUAAAAAUGAAAAGAAGGUUAUUUCAGCCCUGAUCUACAGUCGGAUCUUUAUGCUACAGAUGUUCCAGACAGAGAUAAGGCUGUGAAACUACGAGAGUAUUCCUUUAAUCAUAAGCAGGGGAACUCUGUGAACUAUUUUGGGAACUAUUUUCAGUUUCAAUCAGUUUUGGGCUAAAGCUCAGUGCCUCCUCACGUGCUGUCAACCCAGCACGCCUCUCCGCUCUUGUGCAAUUCUGUCAGAUGAUUAUUAAUAUUAUUGUUAUUAAAUGAAAGAGUAAAAUAAGGUUUUUUGACAUUUAUAUAUAUGAAGAAAUCUCGGGGGGUGCAGUGCAGCGAGCUGUGCUGCCUCGUGGGUUUAAAACAUGAAACUGGAUAAUUUAUUUUGUUCUUAUUUUCUACAAACAGGACGCUUUUACUGAGAUUUUCUGUUUGCUCUCUUUUUUUAUUGUCUUUAAACUCUAAAGCCACUGAGGACAAAGGUGAACUAGCAUUACUGCUCCACUCAAGGGAUUCAGACUGAUUCUUCGCAGAGAGUUUGAUUCAGAAUGACUCUUCGCAGAGAGUUUGUUUCAGAAUGACUCUUUGCAGAGAGUUUGAUUCAGAAUGACUCUUUGCUAAGAGUUUGAUUCAGACUGAUUCUUCGCAGAGAGUUUGAUUCAGAAUGACUCUUUGCAGAGAGUUUGAUUCAGAAUGACUCUUUGCUAAGAGUUUGAUUCAGACUGAUUCUUCGCAGAGAGUUUGAUUCAGAAUGACUCUUUGCAGAGAGUUUGAUUCAGAAUGACUCUUUGCUAAGAGUUUGAUUCAGACUGAUUCUUCGCAGAGAGUUUGAUUCAGAAUGACUCUUUGCAGAGAGUUUGAUUCAGAAUGACUCUUUGCAGAGAGUUUGAUUCAGAAUGACUCUUUGCAGAGAGUUUGAUUCAGAAUGACUCUUUGCAGAGAGUUUGAUUCAGACUGAUUCUUCGCAGAGAGUUUGAUUCAGAAUGACUCUUUGCAGAGAGUUUGAUUCACACUGAUUCUUCGCAGAGAGUUUGAUUCAGAAUGACUCUUUGCUAAGAGUUUGAUUCACACUGAUUCUUCACGGAGAGUUUGAUUCAGGAUUAACUCUUUGCUAAAAGUUUGAUUCAGAAUUAGUGACUCUUUGCAGAGUUUGAUUCAGAAUGACUCUUCGCAGAGAGUUUGAUUCAGAAUGACUCUUCGCAGAGAGUUUGAUUCAGAAUGACUCUUUGCAGAGAGUUUGAUUCAGAAUGACUUUUUGGCAGAGAGUUUGAUUCAGAAUGACUUUUUGGCAGAGAGUUUGAUUCAGAAUGACUCUUUGCUAAGAGUUUGAUUCAGAAUGACUCUUUGCUAAGAGUUUGAUUCAGAAUGACUCUUUGCUAAGAGUUUGAUUCAGACUGAUUAUUCGCAGAGAGUUUGAUUCAGAAUGACUCUUUGCUAAGAGUUUGAUUCACACUGAUUCUUCGCGGAGAGUUUGAUUCAGGAUUAACUCUUUGCUAAAAGUUUGAUUCAGAAUUAGUGACUCUUUGCAGAGUUUGAUUCAGAAUGACUCUUUGCAGAGAGUUUGAUUCAGAAAGACUCUUUGCAGAGUGUUUAAUUGAGAAUGAGUCUUUGUUAAGAGUUUGAUUCAGUUUGCAAAAUUCCAUCCAUUCUGAAUCAAACUCUUAGCAAAGAGUCACUAAUUCUGAAUCAAACUCUCUUCAAAGAGUCAUUCUGAAUUAAACUCUGCAAAGAGUCACUAAUUCUGAAUCAAACUCUCUUCAAAUUGUCAUUCUGAAUUAAACUCUGCAAAGAGUCACUAAUUCUGAAUCAAACUAUCUGCAAAGAGUCAUUCUGAAUUAAACUCUGCAAAGAUCCAUCCAUUCUGUAUCAAAGUCUGUGCAAAGAGUAUGAUUAAUAAUAAAUGGAUCUUUUCAGAGACUUUGAUUCAGAAUGACUCUUUGCAGAGAGUUUGCUUUUGAAUGACUGUCUGUAGAGAGUUUGAUCCAAAGAUCCAUUUAUUCUGUAUCAACAUCCUUGCAAAGAGUAUGAUUCAUAAUAAAUGGCUCUUUGCAGAAAGUUAAAUUCAGAAUGACUCCUCGCAGAGAGUUUGAUUCAAAAUUAUUUUUUGCAGAGAGUUUGAUUCAGAAUGAGUCUUUGAAUCUGCUUUUUUUUUUCUAUUAUUGUCAAAGAAGGGUUGGUUCCAGUAUUCUGUCUGUCUGUGUGUCUAUCUGUCUGUCUGUUUGUUUUUCUGCCUGCCUGAAAGCUACACUGCAGGGCAAUGUAUGAUACUGUGUUUAACAGGAUUUUACCUCUUUUGGAAAUGAUUCACUGCAUCGUAAUCUUAGAUUUUACCCCAAUUCCAUUUAUUUGGUGUUUUAUCAAAUCUCACUGAUUUAGCUGUGAUUGAAUUCCAUUAUGAUUCUUUUAAAAACAAAUCAGUUGAUUGUGGGAUGUCCUAUUUCACCAAGACAUUAUUCAGUAAAUCAUUGUAUCUCAGAUUUGAUAAAGAUUUGGUUCGGUCAUGAUUCUUUUGAACACAGUUCAGUGCAUCAUAAAGUGUCAAAUUUCCCCAAGCUUUUAGGUAUGAAAGUAUGAAUCAUCUGCAAAUGAUUCAGUUCAUCUUGACAUGUCAGAUUUUACCAAAAUUUGAUUCAGUUAUUCUUUUGAAAAUUAUUUAAUAAUCAAAAUUUGCUAAUUUAAUUUAAUUUUUUUAUGUCCAAACAUUUGUGGACACACUUUCUGUUGAAUGCAUUGCUGACACAGAUGUAAAUGUCCCUGUAGAGAAUAGGACUCUAUUUGCACCAUAUAUAAUGUCAGGUGUGGGUUAUAGAGGGAUAUAAAGCCCCCAGUAUUGAGGUGUGGAGCUGUGGAGGAACUGUGUUCUCUGGAAUGAUGAUUAAGCUCCAUCCAAUACAUUUGGGUGGGGAAGUGGUCAUUCAGAAUCUCUCAAACCCGCACAGCAAUGCUGCAACAUCUAGUAGAAAACAUUCUGAGACAGAUACUCCAACAAAAGUCACAAGCAGGAGAAACUCGUUUUAAUACCCUUAAUUUAAGAAGAAAAAGUUAAACUAUCCCAAUAAUUUUGUCCAUACAAGUGCAUUACUGCUGUUCAGAUAACACAGCACAUCUCCAGUAUUCAAGAAGCUGCUUUGGGUCUCUGUGGGUCAUUUCCUGUUCUCAGAUCAGAUCAUUUUAAUUGGAGGAUCAUUAUAAAAGCUUUCAGUUAAUUGUUCAGGCAGAAUCACAGACAGUAGGUUUCUUCUGUUUUCCGUUUGUGUGUUUCUGCAUUCUGGAGGAGUCUGUUCUGAUCCUGUUGGCAUUAAGUAAAGCAGUAUGAGUGUCUCGGGGUCACCUGAGGUCAAUCUGCAGUUCUGUCGUGUUCAAAAGUGCCUCCUUCUGAUUUCAUAUCAAAGAUUCCUCACUUAUAGCUGUGUGUGGGUGUGGGUGUGGGUGUGGAGGGGGGGGAGGAGUAAGAGUGUGGGUUAUUGGAGUUCCUGAUCAAGAGCAUCAUAAACCGUACAGCAGCAGCAGCAGAGAUUUAGAGGCAAGCUCUGUGUGAAGAUGUGAGGACUGCAGAAAAGACUUAAAUAAAGAACUCCUGUGGAACAGA